rnacentral:lncRNA from 1 species
GCUCCUUCGCAAUAGAUAUCAGACAGAGAACUUCCUUGUUCUUGUUCUUGAUCCCGAGCUUUUCUUGGCUUAACUUUAUAUUGGGACUAUUGAUAGCCAAUAUUCUACCAUCUAUGAUGCCAGCAAGAGACGUCAUUUAUUUGUAUUAUGCUUUGUAUUAUUUGGCUUGAUUAUGUAAGUGCCAUAAAAUUUAAUUGGGUGCCAUUUCCUUUAUACUUUGUCAUGAAUGUUUAUGAAAGGAAGUUCCACCUUUUCAAAAGUGUAGAAACUUCACUUGACCAGGUAACAUGACACAAAGCUGCUGGGUUUUGGGAAAUCAGCUGUCCAGUGAGAGCAAGCAGUGAUCUUGACCCUGCCACCUCUGGUAUGACCCUGACUGCUCCUCCACUGCUGUUGUUAUUCCUAAUUUCUCCAAGGAGCAACAGGCAAAUUAUAAAAUGAUGUGCUGGCUUCAAGCAUCUUGGCAUGAGAAAGGGCAAAGGAGCAUGUUCCCCAGAACUGCAAAGGACUGCUAAGGAAUUUCAGGGCCCUGAGAUAAAUAUGGUUGAAUUACUGAAUUCCUGUGAACUAUGGAGCUUAUUUGUUUGGGCAGCUGGCUACCUGUGAAGCGGCUUGGGCACUUCUUUCCAACUCUCCUAAGGCCAACCAGAAGAUUACAUGGAAAAAUGUGAUAUGCACAGAUUACUCAAGACGACUUACAGCAAACAGAAUUCAAGUGUUUCAGUUCCCACAGGACCUCUGUUAGGAUGGGUUGCUCUGGAUGAUUUCAAGAGGACCAUGAAAGUCAGGGACAUGCAGAUGAAUGCUUGCCAGUGUCGACAAAUACAGAUGAAGGACACAACGUUUGGCUCUGCAUAACAAUCCUAGAGAAGACAUUGGGAUGAGACAGAUGGGCGUUUGAGCACAGUUCUUGGUUCCAACAAGAAAAUGGAAUGAACAUUCAAGAGAGGAAGGCUUAGUACUAAGUAUCAGGAAAUGCUUCUGAUAAAUUCCAACUUUUAAGCCCUCUUUGACUCUACUGCUGUUCAUGAUGGUUGUUUAUUGCUUUUUUGAUAAAAAGGCAAGAUGAUCCAAUAAAUAUGUUCCUGGAGUGUUCUCA